UACGGGGGGAGCAAGCGUUGUUCGGAUUUACUGGGCGUAAAGGGCGCGUAGGCGGUCAGCACAAGUCAGUUGUGAAAUCUCCGGGCUUAACUCGGAAAGGUCAACUGAUACUGUGCGACUAGAGUGCAGAAGGGGCAACUGGAAUUCUCGGUGUGCGGUGAAAUGCGUAGAUAUCGAGAGGAACACCUGCGGCGAAGGCGGGUUGCUGGGCUGACACUGACGCUGAUGCGCGAAAGCCAGGGGAGCGAACGGG
rnacentral:rRNA from 1 species